rnacentral:antisense_RNA from 1 species
CUUCAAGGAGCCCAACCACACCGGCCCCGGCCGGUUUUGGCCGUAUGUGGCCAAAAUCGCCUGGGCCUC